rnacentral:tRNA from 1 species
GCUGCUAUGGCUCAGUUGGUAGAGCACAUCCUUGGUAAGGAUGAGGUCACCAGUUCAAAUCUGGUUAGCAGCU